rfam:Brachypodium distachyon strain Bd21 chromosome 2, whole genome shotgun sequence.
CUUAUAUUUCUUCCGUCCGACGAAUGAUGUUCAACUUUGACUAAAUUUGAAUGCAUCUAUAUACUAAAUCAUGUCUAGAUACAUUCAAAAUUUGACAAACUUGAAACAUCUUUUGUUGGACGGAAGGAGUAUGAU